GACGAACGCUGGCGGCGUGCCUAAUACAUGCAAGUAGAACGCUGAAGAGAGGAGCUUACUCUUCUUGGAUGAGUUGCGAACGGGUGAGUAACGCGUAGGUAACCUGCCUUGUAGCGGGGGAUAACUAUUGGAAACGAUAGCUAAUACCGCAUAACAAUGGCUGACACAUGUCAUUUAUUUGAAAGGGGCAAUUGCUCCACUACAAGAUGGACCUGCGUUGUAUUAGCUAGUAGGUGAGGUAAUGGCUCACCUAGGCGACGAUACAUAGCCGACCUGAGAGGGUGGUCGGCCACACUGGGACAGAGAGACGGCGCAGACUCCGACGGGAGGCAGCAGUAGGGAAUCUUAGGCAAUGGGGGCGACCCUGACCGAGCAACACCGCGUGAGUGAAGAAGGUUUUCGGAUCGUAAAGCUCUGUUGUAAGUCAAGAACGGGUGUGAGAGUGGAAAGUUCACACUGUGACGGUAGCUUACCAGAAAGGGACGGCUAACUACGUG
rnacentral:rRNA from 1 species